ACAGAUUAAUACAAUACUUUGGUCUGACGUUCAUUCUUUGUGAAGUUUGUGGUAAGAGAUCAGCUUUUGCGUCUUCAUAAAAAUUUCACCAGUUUAAUAUAAGUACUAUCAGUAUGAAAAUUCACCAAUUCGCUGUCUUGAUCUUGGCGAUUCUAAUCGCUAUGGCUUCAGCGAUGCCAAAAGAAGGGGAACAUUCAUACGCAUCUCUUGGAUUCAGCGGACGUGAUGUUGAGAAGAACGUACUGUUUGUCGGAAAAACUAUCGAGCGCGCUGGACAAAAUACGAAAAGAGCUGCUGAAAAAGUUGGCAAGGAGGUUCGUAGAGCCUGGAGAAGAAUCUUUGGAUAGAAAUUAAUACCUAUAUUUUAAAUUCAUCCAAAUGUAUAAUUUCCUUAUCAAAUAUUAACUUUUAAACAUU